CGGAGUGUAGCACAGUGGGUAAGGAACUGGGCUUGUAACCGAAAGGUCGCAGGUUCGAUUCCCGGACCCUGCCGUUGUAC
rnacentral:tRNA from 1 species